rnacentral:hammerhead_ribozyme from 1 species
AUUUAGAUGAAGAGUCCCAAAUGGGACGAGAUGCGCAUCCUGGAU